UUAAGGCAUCAACAACCUAAAUACACCAGAUGCACACUGAACUGUGGAACUUAUGUCCAAGUUAAAUACAAGUCCAUGUCUGCUUGGUUGAAUUAAAUGAGACAAGGAUUCCAACAAAAUUACAAGAGUUGGAAAAGAAUAUAACACUGACAAGUGACAGCUAAUUGGAGUUGCACACAUUAUCCUGUGGAAAGUGCAGUUUGAUUUCUUGAUGGAGACCCAACCAUUUGUGAAGAGUUCAGAAGAUUUCCAAGAUGACUUUGCUGUUGUUCAUCAAAUAAUUUCUGCUGACAAAUUCCAUUCUGAACCUCAAGAAUGUGUUAGCCCUAUACUAGGAACACAUUGUCAAGUUAGCUAUCAACCCCAUCUCU